CCUACGGGUGGCAGCAGUGGGGGAUAUUGGACAAUGGGGGAAACCCUGAUCCAGCGACGCCGCGUGAGUGAAGAAGUAUUUCGGUAUGUAAAGCUCUAUCAGCAGGGAAGAAAGAAAUUACGGUACCUGAUUAAGAAGCCCCGGCUAACUACGUGCCAGCAGCCGCUGUAAUACGUAGGGGGCAAGCGUUAUCCGGAAUUACUGGGUGUAAAGGGAGCGUAGACGGUAAUGCAAGUCUGGGGUGAAAGGCGGGGGCGCAACCCCCGGACUGCUCUGGAAACUGUGUAACGGGAGUGCAGGAGAGGCAGGCGGAAUUCCUAGUGUAGCGGUGAAAUGCGUAGAUAUUAGGAGGAACACCAGUGGCGAAGGCGGCCUGCUGGACUGUAACUGACGUUGAGGCUCGAAAGCGUGGGGAGCAAACAGGAUUAGAUACCCGAGUAGUC
rnacentral:rRNA from 1 species